rnacentral:rRNA from 1 species
UACGUAGGGUGCAAGCGUUGUCCGGAAUUAUUGGGCGUAAAGAGCUCGUAGGCGGUCUGUCGCGUCGGAUGUGAAAGCCCGGGGCUUAACCCCGGGUCUGCAUUCGAUACGGGCAGACUAGAGUGUGGUAGGGGAGAUCGGAAUUCCUGGUGUAGCGGUGAAAUGCGCAGAUAUCAGGAGGAACACCGAUGGCGAAGGCAGGUCUCUGGGCCAUAACUGACGCUGAGAAGCGAAAGCAUGGGGAGCGAACAGG